UACGUAGGGGGCAAGCGUUGUCCGGAUUUAUUGGGCGUAAAGAGCGUGUAGGCGGUCAGGUAGGUCCGUUGUGAAAACUCGAGGCUCAACCUCGAGACGCCGAUGGAAACCAUCUGGCUAGAGUCCGGAAGAGGAGAGUGGAAUUCCUGGUGUAGCGGUGAAAUGCGCAGAUAUCAGGAAGAACACCCGUGGCUAAGGCGGCUCUCUAGUACGGUACUGACGCUGAGACGCGAAAGCGUGGGGAGCAAACAGG
rnacentral:rRNA from 1 species